rnacentral:snoRNA from 1 species
UGAUGAUAUAGCAAUUACCUUGGGACACCUAUGAAAAGUUUUUGAUUAGUGUAUAAUUUUAGUAACUGAUGAA